CAGAGGGUGCAAGCGUUGUUCGGAAUUACUGGGCGUAAAGGGCGUGUAGGCGGUUUAACAAGUCAGAUGUGAAAUCCCAGGGCUUAACUCUGGAAGUGCAUUUGAAACUGUUAGGCUAGAGUGCAGUAGAGGAUGGCGGAAUACCCAGUGGAGAGGUGAAAUUCGUAGAUAUUGGGUGGAACACCGGUGGCGAAGGCGGCCAUCUGGGCUGUAACUGACGCUGAGGCGCGAGAGCGUGGGGAGCAAACAGGAUUAGAUACCCUGGUAGUCCACGCUGUAAACGAUGGGUACUCGCUGUGGCUGGUAUUGACCCCGGCCGUAGCCAAGUUAACACGUUAAGUACCCCGCCUGGGGAGUACGGUCGCAAGAUUAA
rnacentral:rRNA from 1 species